CCCCCGCCCGGGCACAAGCGGUGGAGCAUGUGGUUAAUUGGAAGCAACGCGAAGAACCUUACCUGGGCUUGACAUGCUGGUGUAAGCCGGUGGAAACAUCGGCCCCUCUUCGGAGCGCCAGCACAGGUGCUGCAUGGCUGUCGUCAGCUCGUGUCGUGAGAUGUUGGGUUAAGUCCCGCAACGAGCGCAACCCUCGCUCCCAGUUGCCAGCGGUUCGGCCGGGGACUCUGGGGGGACUGCCGGCGUUAAGCCGGAGGAAGGUGGGGAGGACGUCAAGUCAUCACGGCCCUUACGUCCAGGGCGACACACGUGCUACAAUGCCUGGUACAGCGCGUCGCGAACCCGCGA
rnacentral:rRNA from 1 species